GCUAGCAGCUGUAACACCCUGCAGCUCACAACCCUCCUGUAGGUAAGCAGGUGUGAGCCUGGUCAGUACUUGGAUGGGAGACCUCUGGGGAAAAACUAAGGCUGCUGCUGGAA
rnacentral:rRNA from 1 species